GCUCAGAUAAUUAAUUGGCUCUAUCACCAAUUAACAAAAUUGAUUACCUCACUUAACAUGUGAUGCGAAUAAAUGUAUCCAAAAAGAUAGAGUAUUACAAUAGUUGCAUUACAGGUCAUGAAAAAACUAAUGGUUACAACAAUUGCCAUGCGGCCAUCCGAGUUGCCUUACCAUCUAGUCAUUUGGAUAAGAUAAAAUCAUUACUUUUUUUUCUUUGGUC
rnacentral:lncRNA from 1 species